GCAUCUCAUCUCUCUGUUGCCGACUAUAGGUUUCUAGCUCCACGGACCACGGUCGGAAUUGGAAGCCAAUUUGUUCUCCUUCAAAAAAUAGAAGCACAAGCCAAAAACGUCAUAUCAUCUCUCUAUUGCCGACUACAGCUUUCCAGUUCCACGGACCACGGUCGGAAUUAGAAGGCAAUUUGAAGGACUCUCGUCUCUCUGCUGCCGACUAUAGGUUUCCAGCUCUACGGACCACGGUCGAAAUUGGAAGGAAAUUUGAAGGAGUCUCAUCUCUCUGUUGCCGACUACAAGUUUCCAGCUCCACAAGCCAAACUACUCCAUAAAAAUAGGGAAGAAUUUGGUCUCUACCGAUUUGGUCUCUGCUGACUACUUAAAGCAGAAACACAAGCCGAACCAGGACCUGGGAAACUCAGUUUCGAUCUGGUAUUAAGACCAUAGCUUUGAUUGCUGUUAGAGAAGGUGUUAUUCAGUUGGGAGCUAUUGAUAAGGUCAUCCUUCUCUUUCACUCUUCAUCAUACCCUUGCAAUGUUGACACAUAAGGAUUCCACAUCAAAGGUUCCAGCAUGUCAAGAAGCUUAGCUGUCAUCUCUUGUAAUUGUAACUUCCUUUAACAUAAUCUGUUAGGAUAUUUUCUCCCAUUCUGUCUUUGUUUUCUCCAGCUUCCUCAAGGUAUAAAGAAAUGCAGCUUGUUAGAAUUCAUUUUGUCAAACUUCUUCUUCACCUCUCAAAGCUCUGCAUUGUCUUCCCCAUGUUUCCCAACAUGGUAUCAGAGCCAUGAAGCUGUGGCUUGGUGUACACUUGCAGCGAAUAUGGUUCGGACAUCAGUAGCACCUAAUCCAAUGUUACAAGCUGAAGGAGGUUGUUGAUAAAUUAAAGAAUGUUUUUAUUGAGAAAAUAGCAAUUGAAAAACUCCCUAGUUGUGUUAAGUUUCAUGACAUACAAUUCUCUACUUGUAGGUUAGAAGGUAGUUCAGCUUAAGGAGUCAUAAAUCAAAAUCAAUGUUUAGAAGUAGUUAGUGUUUGUACUAGAACAGCAGUUAGUUCAGAUAGGUUGAAGACUCAAAGACUAGAGAACUGAAGAGUAUGGAGAUCGUUCUCUGCACUAGAUACUACACUAGUACAGUCAAGAUGUUCAGGAACGGUUAUUUUGUUACAACUACUUCAAGGUUUCGGCAUCUUUAAAUACCAACUCAGUCUCACAAAUUGGGUUGUUGAGAUUACGAAGACAAAAUUCAUAGAGUAUACUCUGAUAGAGCUAAAAUGAUAUCUUGACAAAGCCUACCUUUGAUUCAAGAUUAGAAAUCUCUUUACGAGAAGAUGGGUAAGAAUUCACUCUGGAUGAGCAAGGAGCGCUGUUGUUGAGGGAGAGCCUCAACACAAAGAGAUCGGGAGAUCGGACAUUUGACAACUCUUCAAGGUCAAACUCAAGGAUAAAGAUUUGACGAAGAUCCUGUAGCUUGCCGUGUGAACUCAAUUGUAUUGGUGCAUCUUUUACCGAUUGAUUCAAUGGAGAGUUGGGCGACCAGAGUGAAGCCCCCGAGAUGUAGGAACUGUGUUUCCGAACUGGGUUACCAAUUUACAGGAGUUCUUUACUGCUUUUUUUGUAUGCUUUAUUUCUAGCAAAUUAAAUCCCUGCCCUACUAGCUGAACUAGUUCGUAAAACAGUUGGUGAGAUUCUGUUGAACUUAGCAACUAUUUUCAAUAAACAGAAUUUCUCCUAA